UACAGAGGGGGCAAGCGUUGUUCGGAAUUACUGGGCGUAAAGGGCGCGUAGGCGGCCUGUUAAGUCGAACGUGAAAUCCCCGAGCUCAACUCAGGAAUUGCAUCGGAAACUGGCGGGCUGGAGUCCGGGAGAGGGUAGUGGAAUUCCUGGUGUAGAGGUGAAAUUCGUAGAUAUCAGGAGGAACACCGGUGGCGAAGGCGGCUACCUGGACCGGUACUGACGCUGAGACACGAAAGCGUGGGGAGCAAACAGG
rnacentral:rRNA from 1 species